GAUGAACGCUGGCGGCGUGCCUAAUACAUGCAAGUCGAGCGAACAGACGAGGAGCUUGCUCCUCUGACGUUAGCGGCGGACGGGUGAGUAACACGUGGAUAACCUACCUAUAAGACUGGGAUAACUUCGGGAAACCGGAGCUAAUACCGGAUAAUAUAUUGAACCGCAUGGUUCAAUAGUGAAAGACGGUUUUGCUGUCACUUAUAGAUGGAUCCGCGCCGCAUUAGCUAGUUGGUAAGGUAACGGCUUACCAAGGCAACGAUGCGUAGCCGACCUGAGAGGGUGGUCGGCCACACUGGAACUGAGACACGGUCCAGACUCCUACGGGAGGCAGCAGUAGGGAAUCUUCCGCAAUGGGCGAAAGCCUGACGGAGCAACGCCGCGUGAGUGAUGAAGGUCUUCGGUUCGUAAAACUCUGUUAUUAGGGAAGAACAAAUGUGUAAGUAACUAUGCACGUCUUGACGGUACCUAAUCAGAAAGCCACGGCUAACUACGUG
rnacentral:rRNA from 1 species